UACGUAGGUGGCAAGCGUUGUCCGGAUUUAUUGGGUUUAAAGGGUGCGUAGGCGGCCUUGUAAGUCAGUGCUGAAAUAUCCCGGCUUAACCGGGAGGGUGGCAUUGAUACUGCAGGGCUUGAGUAAAGUUGAGGUUGGCGGAAUUGACGGUGUAGCGGAUGAAAUGCUUAGAUAUGACAUAGAACACCUAUUGCGAAGGCAGCUUACUACGCAUAUAUUGACGCUGAGGCACGAAAGCGUGGGGAUCAAACAGG
rnacentral:rRNA from 1 species